rnacentral:lncRNA from 1 species
GUAGGCUAUCUCAGUCAUUCUCCAGGUUUUAAGUGGGGCUCAGCUGUUCUUCUUCUGGGACCACCUACUUGGCUGUGCUCAUCUCAGCAGGGCUGCAGGAGAUCCAGAAGACAUAUGGAUGUCCCUCAACAUCUCCACUCAGAGCUGACACAAGGCCAUAGAGAAUGACGACAAAUACAUGGAAGCAGAACCAUCCCAGCCAUCAGAACUUGAAGCAGACAGCAAGGCUGCCCACUGCCCACUGAUUUCAGCCAAGAUCAGCUGGUACUCACCUGACUCAAAGAUGCUUGAAGUGACUGUUCUCAUUCUGUGUUUUGAGAGAGUCUAUUGCACAACAAUUGCUGAUUGGCAUAGAUCCUGAACACUUAAAAAC